CACGGCUAAAAAGCUCCCCCCUCCCCCACGUUUCGACGGAGCUCCCUUCCAUCUCUCCCCCCUUUCUUCUUCCUCCCCACGCCAGCCGCCGCCCCGGACCUAGGGUUUCCCCGCCGCCGCCGCCGCCGAAUCGCAGCAGGAGGAGGACGAGAUGGGCACGCCGGAGACCUCGCGGGAGCCGUGCCCGGACCGCAUCCUCGACGACGUGGGCGGCGCGUUCGGGAUGGGGGCGGUGGGCGGCUCCGUCUUCCAUUUCCUCAAGGGCACCUACAACUCGCCCAACGGCGAGCGCCUGCUGGGCGGGGCCCAGCAGGUGCGCCUCAACGCGCCGCGCGUCGGCGGGAGCUUCGCCGUCUGGGGCGGCCUCUUCUCCGCCUUCGACUGCACCAUGGUCUUCGUGCGCCAGAAGGAGGACCCCUGGAACUCCAUCAUCGCCGGCGCCGCCACGGGUGGCUUCCUCUCCAUGCGCCAGGGCCCCGGCGCCGCCGGCCGCUCCGCGCUCAUGGGCGGCUGCCUCCUCGCGCUCAUCGAGGGCGCCGGCCUCAUGCUCAACCGCGUCCUCGCCGCGCCGCAGAACCUCCCCCCGCUCCCCACCGACGACCCCAACCUGGCCGCCGCGAUGGCGGGGGGAGGCGUCGGCGGCUUCCCAGGCAUGCCCCAGCCACCCGUGCCCCCUGUGGAGGUCGGGAGCUCCGGCGGCGGGGGUAGUUGGUUCGGCGGCCUCUUCGGCAAGAAGGAGGAGGAGAAGAAGCCCAGCGGCAGCGGCGGCAAGUCGGAGAUAUUAGAGAGCUUUGAUACGCCCAGCCCUCCGAUACCUUCGUUCGACUACAAGUGAAAAAAAAGGUAGCUGAUGGCGCCGAUGCGCAGCGGCGCUCGAUCCACAAGUAGUAGUCUGAAGCUGGGAGUGCAAUCUACUUCAUCUUGUCGGAGGGGUAGACAAGUGACGCUUGCGCAGCUCAACUUCUAGUACUGUUAUCUAUGGGCUGACCAGUCGCUGGGAAAAGGUUUUGGAUUAUUAGUUUAUUGUACGCGAGCUUUUUAAACUUUGCAUGUUCAUGUUGUUGCCGUGGUAGUGACGGUAAUAAUGCCUAUAGCGUCAUAUGGUGCAGAUGUACUGCUGCGCUUGAAAAGCCUAAAAUUAAAAUUACGCCUCUGUCUGUCUGUCUGUCUGUCUUGCUUCUGGUGUGACGUCAGGGUUCUUCUGCC
rnacentral:rRNA from 1 species